GGGGGCGUGGCGGAAUGGUAGACGCUGCGGACUUAAAAUCCGUUGACCUUUAAAAAGUCGUGAGGGUUCAAGUCCCUCUGCCCCCA
rnacentral:tRNA from 1 species